GAUGAACGCUGGCGGCGUGCCUAAUACAUGCAAGUCGAGCGAACGGACGAGAAGCUUGCUUCUCUGAUGUUAGCGGCGGACGGGUGAGUAACACGUGGAUAACCUACCUAUAAGACUGGGAUAACUUCGGGAAACCGUAGCUAAUACCGGAUAAUAUUUUGAACCGCAUGGUUCAAAAGUGAAAGACGGUCUUGCUGUCACUUAUAGAUGGAUCCGCGCUGCAUUAGCUAGUUGGUAAGGUAACGGCUUACCAAGGCAACGAUGCAUAGCCGACCUGAGAGGGUGAUCGGCCACACUGGAACUGAGACACGGUCCGGACUCCUAGGGAAGGCAGCAGUAGGGAAUCUUCCGCAAGGGGCGAAAGCCUGACGGAGCAACGCCGCGUGAGUGAGGAAGGUCUUCGGAUCGUAAAACUCUGUUAUUAGGGAAGAACAUAUGUGUAAGUAACAGUGAACAUCUGGACGGUACCUAAUCAGAAGACCACGGCUAACUACGU
rnacentral:rRNA from 1 species